UCCAGACUCCUACGGGAGGCAGCAGUGGGGGAUAUUGCACAAUGGGGGGAACCCUGAUGCAGCGACGCCGCGUGGGUGAAGGAGCGUUUCGGCGCGUAAAGCCCUAUCGGCAGGGAAGAAGGAGGACGGUACCUGACUAAGAAGCCCCGGCUAACUACGUGCCAGCAGCCGCGGUAAUACGUAGGGGGCAAGCGUUAUCCGGAUUUACUGGGUGUAAAGGGGGCGCAGACGGCAGCGCAAGCCAGGAGUGAAAGCCCGGGGCCCAACCCCGGGACUGCUCUUGGAACUGCGCGGCUGGAGUGCAGGAGGGGCAGGCGGAAUUCCUGGUGUAGCGGUGAAAUGCGUAGAUAUCAGGAGGAACACCGGUGGCGAAGGCGGCCUGCUGGACUGCGACUGACGUUGAGGCCCGAAAGCGUGGGGAGCAAACAGGAUUAGAUACCCUAGUAGGU
rnacentral:rRNA from 1 species